CGAGAAUUUAUAUUCGAGAUAUUACGUCACUUUCCAUUUUACAAUACUUGUGCAUACCAUCUAAUCACCACGAUGUUACGUGUUAUCAUCAUCGAUCGACGUCCCCUUUUCCGCUUAUGCAUACGUGUAUCGAAGAAGGGCAGGGGAAAAAGUAUAUUGGCUAUGAUCAACUAGAAUUCUGCGUAGCAAGAAUUACUCAUUUCGUUUCGAUAAGGAAUAAUCUACCUGGAAACCGGUUUCGUUUAAGCACUAUAUUCCAAUUUAAAAUAACUUGAUUUCUCCACAAGCGGGAAAUGUUUUCGUUGCAUAAAGUUGAGAUGAUGAAAUUGUCAAAGGGAAAAACGUUAUCGAGAUAUCAAUACUUUACGAAAAGAGUCAGCGUUCGUAAUUCUCGAACCGCGCUGGUUCCACUCGAACUGGACUGGACGAGAUCCCUCAGUUGGAUGCAACCGGUUUCGUUUACGACCCUAAAAAACUACGGAGGAUUAAAUUAAAGCCUCGUCGUUCUGUAAUCAUCGACGGACUUAAGUCACCCUGGUUCCAGACCAGACUAGGAAAGGAAAUUGGCUCUCUCUUCGUUGUAGACGCGUCUCGGCUACGCGCACACUUUGCUUUGCUUUGUAAUUGUAUACAACCAAUAUCUUCCCUGCGAUUAUUACGUUUUGAAAAUAAACACACCACAACAAACAAUACCAGUUUACCAUUUAUAUUACCGAUGUACGAAUACCCUGACGACAGUCGUACAAAUGGCUCUUCUCAACAGAUAACGAUUGAAAUGGUGGUAUGCAUGUUGAUAUUGUUCAUUGUGGGUGGUGGAUGUGUACUUAUUACGUAUGCCUAUAUAUUUGCAUAUAAAUUCGAUAAUCGUAAUUUUAAAGUUGAUUAGACAUCGUACAUUUCAUAUUUUUACAGUUUAUAUAUAUAUAUAUUUUUUUCUUAUUUCACAAUAAUGAUAUGUUACACUCGGCACUUUCAGUAUUAGUAUCGAUAGUAAAAAAUCUAAUCGAAAUAACGGACUAUGAACUGGGUCAUCGAGUAUUCCAGACCACGUCGAUACGCUUGCACAAGCCAUUGACCCAACGAAAACCAAUUAAUCUCAUAAACGAUCGAAUUUAUCGAUCCGAUACUGCAAUGAAUAAAACCCAAGGCGAGCUUGACACACAAGCGUUGUCGAAGCUUGUUUUAUUGUCGAGAUACGUUACACGCGUUAAUUUGUGACAAUGAAAAUGAAAGGUGCAGAUAUUUCAUUAAUCAAUCGAUUUAAUUUAAUUUGACAUUUUUCCCUUCAUAAAUGAAAAAAAAAAAAAAGAAAUUACAAUUUUCAGUUUUCCGUUCAUUCGCGGACGAAUAAAAUUUAAACGAAUUAUUUUUGAUUGGAUUUAAACGAAUUUUAAAUAAAAAAAAAAAACGCCCGUGAUCCGAAAAGAAUCGAUAAAGGAGAUUUGGCUAGAGAAUUGGAAGAAGAACGAGGUGAAAAUGUGGGUCUGCGGGUCAUCGAAUACCCAGUGACUUCCAUCGAAGUCUGAAUCACGAGUAACGCUUUGCCAAUUCUCUUCUUCUUCGCGAUCCGCGAAGUAUUUUCCGGUCGUUGACCGUCGCCGACAGUAAACGACCCUCGAGGUCUUCUGGACGGGGAGCGCAAUGAGGAAAAACUGGGCGAACAAGGGGCGAACAGAUAAAAACUCACUCCGACCGGUGAAAUAAUCGGAGCCUCGGUUUCUCCUUCGAUCUUCUUCGAAAACGGUGCAUCGAAAUUUUCGUUCCGCUCGCAGCACACGCAACUAGUCGGUAAAUUCGAUUAAUUUCUUUCACGAAAAUUAAUUCGUCGAAAUAUGGAUAUAAUCGCGAAAUCCAACGAGUUGAGAAACGCUGAUCAUAUAGAUCGAAGUAACGUUGCGUAUCUUUAUUUCUUUCCUCAAGUUCGACGAACUCUCGCUCGAUAGGUUGAAAAGAAUUCGAUAGCGUGGACAAUCUGAAUCGCGUAUUUGCAACGCUCAAAAUCUAUUGCCUAGUGACACGAUGGUUGACUCGGUUUCGGCGCAGAAUCCGUUCCGCACGCGCGCGCGCAUGCUCGUUCGUCCUGCUGACAGGCUUGGAAAAAUAGAGAAAAGAAUCGAAACUUUACCGUUAUGUUCACCCAACUCGCGCCAUAAUUACAGCAUGGAGUUUGCUACUUGCGGGAGAGGAAAGUGUACGUGUGUAGGAAAACGUGUACACGCUUCAACGGCAAAUCUUUUAAACUUUUUUUAGACAUGUAAUUAUUCGAGUCACGGUAUCCAUGAGAGAUGUUCGAUCAGUAAUUAUAUAGAUGCCAAUUUGCUGUUGUGACGAUUAUUAUCGUGUGAACACGCAGUGUAUCGUAUUAGGUUAGGUUUCAAGUAGUCAUUUGCCAGUCGAUUGCCAUUUUCAUCUUUCGAAUCAAUGACUGAUAAAAUGGAUGAUGAUAAGGGAAGAAUGUACGCUUAGACAUCUCGUGUAGCGUGUAUAUACUUCAGUUCAGAUGUGUAUGAAGAUUCACGAAGCAGGAGUACUUUCAUCCAAGUUUUAUUAACAAGAGUCGAUGCAAGAAGUAAUUAAACCGGUCUUGUGUACUUUAUCGCGAAUUAUAUUUGUAAUAGCGAUCGAGUCGCUAUCUUACAGCCAUUAGAGGUAUGUAACUAUAUGUAAUUCAUUCUUCGAUCUCUGUUUAAGAAUCACUCGAUAUGUGCUGCUUUAUAGUUCAACUUAUUUAAUCGAACUGAGUAACGAAAUUCUAUGUUUUCAAUUUUUUUUCAAUUUAAUUCUCGUAAACGUAAGUGGCAAUAUUUUUUCAAAGUCAAUACAAAUACGAAUUAAAAAUUUCACGAUACGAAUGAUCGAGUACCUUAUUAUCGUACAUAUGUAUGAGUAUUUUUUCCUUUUCUUUUUUUUUUUUUUUUCGUAGGUCGCAAGAAUUAAUAGAUUCAGGCGCAUUAAGCGUACGUGCAAUGUACACUCCAUGUAAAAUGAUUCUCGUUAACGCGUUGCGGUUCUCCCCUUUUAACGAUGGACAUCAAUCACGGAUGAAACUUGCGAUUAUUUCCUGGAAAUCGCUUGCCUUCGAAUAGGAAUUCAAUGAAUCCUUAGCUUUUAUUAAAAAACGAAACCUGUUUAUUUAUUUUUCUUGUUUAUUCGAUGCUCCAUACAUGUUAAUCAAGAUCGAAAUCGAAAUGACGAACGUUAAAAAUUCAUUACAAAUUAAUAUCACUUUCGUUGAAUUUGAAUUUUUGAAUUGAAAUUUCGAAAUGGUUGAAUUUGAAAUUUUGGGCAGCAUGUAGCGUGGAAUAUUUUCGUUGUUCUUAUAUUCCAUUAAAUUUACACUUAUAUGUAUCCCCUGAAACAAUGAUAAUAAUUAUAUAUUAUAUUGUUAUUUAAUUCCAUUUUUUUUUAAAUUUUAUUAUACGUAUUCUUUUACUAUAAUUAUCGAUUACUAUAUACUCUUACGUAUAGAAAUUAAUAUAAAAAAUAAAAAAUUAAAAUUUUUUACCAUUUGCCAGUUCCUGCUUGUGCGUUUGCAUUUGCCGAUGCCGAAGCAUAUGAGCUUCCGCCACUUCCACUGGAAUCGCAUAACAGAAGAAAUAUUAUUGCAAAUACAUUAAAUUAUUAUUACAGAAAAUUAUCAUUAUAUAUUAGAGAAUAAAUAUUCUUUUAAUCCGAGUAAAUGAAUACUUAUCGUGAAGAUUUUUUAUUCUAAAUUGUAAAAGAAAAUUUGAAAUCGUACCAUGUGCUGCAACCACCGCCCCCAGAUGGAUACCCACCGCCCCCAGAUGGAUACCCACCGCCUCCGGAUGGAUACCCACCACCUCCGGAUGGAUAUCCACCACCUCCGGAUGGAUAUCCACCACCUCCGGAUGGAUAUCCACCACCUGCAACGGGUAUAAUAAUAACUGGUAUAGCAUCUAUUCUUGAAUGCCCUAUAAAAAAUUACCUUCAAUCAGCGUUAGAAGCGGAAGCGGCGCGUUGUUAUUAUUAUUAUCUUCAUUAAAUGCAUUUGAUCCUUUUUUUAAAAGCUUGAGACUAUAACACGCGAUAUGCAUUAUUUUCAUUAAUUGCAAGCAGUAAGAAGUUAAAAUAUUAGCGAUGCAUUUGCAGUAAAAAUUCGCUGGAUCAUGCCUCGAAUAAUCAGACUUUCGAAUAAUUAAAAUUAAAUGAAAGCAAAAAAAAAUAAUAAACUUAUUUUUCAAAUUCUAUCUUACCUGGAUAACCUCCUCCACCACAACUACCACCUGCACAUCCAUAUUUGCCACCACCGUGUCCACUAGGAUAACCACCUCCUCCACUAGGAUAACCGCCUCCUCCACUAGGAUAACCACCUCCUCCAGGAUAAUAGCCACCACCACCAGGAUAGCCACCACCACCACAACUACCACCCGCACAUCCAGGCUUGCCUCCUCCACCACCGAAUCCACCACCGAAUCCACCACCAAAUCCUCCUCCACCUCCAGUUCCAAGUCCUCCACACUUGACACAAAGUGUUCUCUUGUUGCGGAUUUUCUUCAAUUUUUCCAUUUUCGAUUUCGAGGGAAAUAUUCCUUCUCCUUCCUCCUUAGAGAGUUUCAGCCUCAAUACUUUCGUUUCACCUCCAUAAUCGAUCUUCUCCACGUUGAAAUCCUCCUUAUUCAGUUCUUCCGCAAUUUCAUCGAGAUCCACCGC